UCUUGGUCAGGACGAACGCUGGCGGCGCGCUUAACACAUGCAAGUCGAGCGAGAACCUUCCUUCGGGAUUGGGGACAGCGGCGAACGGGUGAGUAACACGUGGGUAAUCUGCCCUUGACAUCGGGAUAGCCCGGGGAAACCCGGAUUAAUACCGAAUAGCCUCCGGAGCCUUCGGGCGCCGGAGAAAAGGUAGCUUCGGCCUCUGGUCAAGGAUGAGCCCGCGGUGGAUUGGCUUGUUGGCGGGGUAAUGGCCCACCAAGGCGACGAUCCAUAGCUGGUCUGAGAGGACGAUCAGCCACACUGGGACUGAGACACGGCCCAGACUCCUACGGGAGGCAGCAGUGGGGAAUCUUGCGCAAAUGCGGGAAACCGUGACGCAGCGAACCGCCGCGUGGGGGAAGAAGGCCUUCGGGUUGUAAACCUCUUUCAGGAGGGACGAAGCUACUCGGGUUAAUAGCCCAGAGGGUGACGGUACCUUCAGAAGAAGCCCCGGCUAACUACGUGCCAGCCGCUGC
rnacentral:rRNA from 1 species